UACGAGUGCCCCGAGCGUUUAUCCGGAAUUAUUGGGCGUAAAGAGCUCGUAGGUGGCUUGUCACGUCGGGUGUGAAAGCUUGGGGCUUAACUCCAGGUCUGCAUUCGAUACGGGCUGGCUAGAGGUAGGUAGGGGAGAACGGAAUUCCUGGUGUAGCGGUGAAAUGCGCAGAUAUCAGGAGGAACACCGGUGGCGAAGGCGGUUCUCUGGGCCUUACCUGACGCUGAGGAGCGAAAGCGUGGGGAGCGAACAGG
rnacentral:rRNA from 1 species